GAUGAACGCUGGCGGCGUGCCUAAUACAUGCAAGUCGAGCGAACGGACGAGAAGCUUGCUUCUCUGAUGUUAGCGGCGGACGGGUGAGUAACACGUGGAUAACCUACCUAUAAGACUGGGAUAACUUCGGGAAACCGGAGCUAAUACCGGAUGAUAUUUUGAACCGCAUGGUUCAAAAGUGAAAGACGGUCUUGCUGUCACUUAUAGAUGGAUCCGCGCUGCAUUAGCUAGUUGGUAAGGUAACGGCUUACCAAGGCAACGAUGCAUAGCCGACCUGAGAGGGUGAUCGGCCACACUGGAACUGAGACACGGUCCAGACUCCUACGGGAGGCAGCAGUAGGGAAUCUUCCGGAAUGGGCGAAAGCCUGACGGAGCAACGCCGCGUGAGUGAUGAAGGUCUUCGGAUCGUAAAACUCUGUUAUUAGGGAAGAACAUAUGUGUAAGUAACUGUGCACAUCUUGACGGUACCUAAUCAGAAAGCCACGGCUAACUACGUG
rnacentral:rRNA from 1 species